rnacentral:rRNA from 1 species
AUCCGGAGGGUGCAAGCGUUAUUCGGAAUCACUGGGCGUAAAGGACGCGUAGGCGGGUUGGCAAGUCAGAUGUGAAAUCCUACAGCUUAACUGUAGAACUGCAUUUGAAACUGCUAACCUAGAGUAUGGGAGGGGGAGAUGGAAUUAGUGGUGUAGGGGUAAAAUCCGUAGAUAUCACUAGGAAUACCGAAGGCGAAGGCGAUCUCCUGGAACAUAACUGACGCUAAGGCGUGAAAGCGUGGGGAGCAAACAGGAUUAGAAACCCUAGUAGUCC